rnacentral:rRNA from 1 species
UUCUAUUAGAUUUAAAUAAUAGUAAAAUCUGCUCAAUGAAAAUUAAAUAGCCGCAAUUUUCUGUGCUAAGGUAGCAUAAUCAUUCGUCUUUUAAUUGAAGACCAGUACAAAAGAUUAAACAACUUAAUAAAUAUACUUAAUUAAUUAUUUUAAACUUUUCAAAAAUGUAAAAAGACAUUUAUUUUAAAGAAAGACGACAAGACCCUAUUGAACUUAACUUAAGUUUGACUGGGGCAGUAAAUUAAUUAUUAUUUUAAUUUAAAUAUUAUAAAUAAAAUCUAAUAUAAUUAAAUAAUCAAGUUACCAUAGGGAUAACAGCACAAUAUAUUUCUACAGCUCAUAUAUAAAAAUUAAAUUGUGACCUCGAUGUUGAAUAAUAACCUAUUUAUAUAACGCAAAAGUUAAAAAAGGAAGUCUGUUCGACUUUUAAAAAAUUACA